GACGAACGCUGGCGGCGUGCUUAACACAUGCAAGUCGAACGAUUUAGUCGUCGGUCAUCAGACGUCAGACGUCAGGGGAACGAAUGGAACUGAAGAAAGAACUCGCUUUAGCGAAAUCUAUUCCGAAACCCUUACGACCGAUGUCCGAUGACUGACGACCGAAUAGUGGCGGACGGGUGAGUAACGCGUGGGCAACCUACCCAUAAGAGGGGGAUAACAGCUGGAAACGGCUGCUAAUACCGCAUAAGCUUUUUAGGACACAUGUUUUAGAAAGUAAAGGAGGCUUUAGCUUCCGCUUAUGGAUGGGCCCGCGUCUGAUUAGCUAGUUGGUAGGGUAACGGCCUACCAAGGCAACGAUCAGUAGCCGGCCUGAGAGGGUGACGGCCACACUGGGACUGAGACACGGCCCAGACUCCUACGGGAGGCAGCAGUGGGGAAUAUUGGUCAAUGGGCGGAAGCCUGAACCAGCCAUGCCGCGUGCAGGAUGACGGCCCUACGGGUUGUAAACUGCUUUUCCCCGGGG
rnacentral:rRNA from 1 species